UACGAAGGGGACUAGCGUUGUUCGGAUUUACUGGGCGUAAAGCGCGCGUAGGCGGAUCGCUAAGUCAGGGGUGAAAUCCUGGAGCUCAACUCCAGAACUGCCUUUGAUACUGAAGAUCUUGAGUCCGGGAGAGGUGAGUGGAACUGCGAGUGUAGAGGUGAAAUUCGUAGAUAUUCGCAAGAACACCAGUGGCGAAGGCGACUCACUGGCCCGAUACUGACGCUGAGGCGCGAAAGCGUGGGGAGCAAACAGGG
rnacentral:rRNA from 1 species